UACGUAGGGGGCAAGCGUUGUCCGGAUUUAUUGGGCGUAAAGAGUGUGUAGGCGGUUCGGUAGGUCCGUUGUGAAAACUCGAGGCUCAACCUCGAGACGCCGAUGGAAACCAUCGAACUAGAGUCCGGAAGAGGAGAGUGGAAUUCCUGGUGUAGCGGUGAAAUGCGCAGAUAUCAGGAAGAACACCCGUGGCUAAGGCGGCUCUCUAGUACGGUACUGGCGCUGAGACGCGAAAGCGUGGGGAGCGAACAGG
rnacentral:rRNA from 1 species